AGACAUGUAUUCUGUGUGUGUGUGUGCCAUUCAGAGGGUAAAUGGGCAAGACAAAAAUACUUAAGUGCCUUUGAACAGGGUAUGGUAGAAGGUGCCAAGCGCAGCAGUUUGUGUGUGUCAAGAACUGCAACGCUACCGGGUUUUUUCACACUCAACAGUUUCCCGUGUGUAUCAAGAAUGGUCCAACGCCCAAAGGACAUGCAGCAAACCUGACACAACUGUGGGAAGCAUUGGAGUGAACAUGGGCCAGCAUCCCUGUGGAAUGCUUUUGACACCUUGUAGAAUCCAAGCCCCGACAAAUUGAGGCUGUUCUGAGGGCAAAAGGGGGUGCAACUCAAUGUUUUGCACACUCAGUGUAUUAUGUGUGUCGGCUAAGAUGAAGUUUCCUGUGUCAAUUAAAAUAUUAACAGUGUACAAUAUCAAUUGUAAUGUCUCUGAUGUGUUCUUGUCAAUGUCCAGCAGUUGAAGAAUUCUUGUUUUUCUCUGGUUUCUUCAGCAGGCUACGUGUCUGCUGAGGAGUAUGAGAGGAAUGAAUAGGGACCAAUGGGGGGUUCUGAUCAGCAGCCUGGGGCUCCCCUGCCUAGGAGCUCUGGGAUUAGGGCUAAAUCCUGCCCUGCCAGAUGGGCACCAGCACCACAUCAAUCCCACCCACCACCACCAACCUUAGACCUCAGGGCCAGGCCUUGCUCCCCCUGUUCUGCACUGGGCUCUGUGAACCGGACAAUAGGGAGAUGGAACCCCUUCGUGAGCUCAGAGGGUAUGGUUCUCCUCAACACAUGGAGCUAAAUGUGGAUUUCUCCCUAAAUACUAUCCCCUGCUGGUCAGCCAUGUUCUCCUCCAGGAGCUGUGAACAGUGAAUCAGCGGCACCCAGGUAAUGACAGUGUUCCAUGCCACUGCCCUGUCUCCUUAACUGGUAUUAGUUAGGCUUUGGAGUUCAAGUGGCUACAGGGUUUAGAUGCAGAUUUUCAAAAAGGGAAGAAAGAGAGUCUGGCUGUUGUUCUUGAAAAGCUGUGUUUAUCCAGG
rnacentral:lncRNA from 13 species